GCGCUCAUUUUGGCAGCAUGUAGACUAAAAUUGAAAUGAUACAGAGAAGAUUAGCAUGACCCCUUGCGCAAGGAUGGCAGGCAAAUUUGCAAAGCAUUCCAUAUUUAG
ensembl:snRNA U6 U6 spliceosomal RNA